ensembl:lncRNA
CACAAAGCCAGAAACGCUAAGUCCCUGUGCAACAGAGUGCAAAGGGCAAGGAUGAAGGAUGGCUUUUAAUAAUUUAAAUGUACAGGCUAUAUACACCGCCCUCCAGUACUAUGCUUUGGGUGCUUGUGUAUACUUCUGUACAUUAAAUACCUUAACAGCCUGCUCAGCCUCAGUCAUAUACAUGUGCUCCCGGAGACACAGACAAACCAGCCGUCUGUAGAUCAUCACAUGCAAUCACACAGAUUUCCUUCUCCCCCUCUCUAAAUUACCCUUGAGGAGAGAAGCUCUCUACACGCUCCCGUAUGGACAGCCCCGCAGACCUGUGGUAGACCACAACCAGGCCGAGUUUCCAAGCUGAGGACCUUUCACAGAUGUACAGCACGUUGCCAAAUCGCUCCAGAAAGAGAUGAAUGGCACACAAGGAACGGCUUCUGCCUUACGGGCAUUACUAAAACCCUCACCUCGCCCAUGCGCCCCUACGGCACGCAGGUCAACCGGUGAGCGCUGUGCUUCAGCUCCCUUUCUGCGCCCCGAAGACACGCACGUGGCCACGCGCGGCAGCAGGAAACACCAUGAGGCAGAACCGGAAGGACUGCGGGGCUGCAUGCCACGGCCACGCCAAUCCCAACUUCUGGGCAGGAAACGUAUGCCAUGGCAGAGCGCUGAAGAUGACUCAAAUCGCCUCUCCCCCACCCUCCGGUGCCACGGAACAACAGCCCUCUUCAGCCAGGGGAGGGGGACCACGUGGAGGGAUGACUCAAAGCUCUGGGAUAGGGGAAAAACCCACAGAGCAGAGCACACAGCCACCCCCCCAAAACUCACACCGCCUCAUGUUAUAUUAAUUAAACACACAACAACUGCCUUGAGGUAAUAAACACUACAAAGGCAAAGCCAUCUCGUCCUACCACAAGAUAAGUUUACUGAGGUCAAACCCCAGGGAAAACUAAUCUAACCACAUUUUCAAAUUGUUUGGAAUAUUCCAUAGCCCAACAAAACCAUAAAUUGACAAAAACAUCCUAUCCUAGAAUAGCGUGGGGAUAACAAAGAAUGUUUUGUUUAAUUAAAGGCAGAUGACCUAAUAAAAG